AAGUCGUAACAAGGUUUCCGUAGGUGAACCUGCGGAAGGAUCAUUAACACGUAUCCAACGUUAAACCCCCCCGUGCACCUUCAAACACCAUACAGCGCUUCGUGACCCAUCUUGUGUCGGGAGUGUGGUCGGGAAAAACAGGGAUCUAGGAGUUGGUUGUCGGGGGAGAACCUCGCGAAAUGGGUGCCACGCCGAGAGGCGGGGACCAUUCCUGGUUGCGAUGUAAACGUGGUCUCCACUUCAACUUGUUUAGUACCUUUUGUCCUCUACCCGUACCGCUUAUAACCACCGCUGGAAAACUAUGUCUUCCCGCAAAAGUACCCGCUCGGGGGCGCUGGAAUACCCGAACAACUGUUAACAAUGGAUAUCUUGGCCUC
rnacentral:misc_RNA from 1 species